AUCAAAGCUGUUGUCCGGUCAAUUUGGAAGCUGCUACUGUGUCGUUCUAUUCUGUUUAUCAUGAUAUGUGGUUGUUACCGUGAUCCUUGUGGUUGCUUGGGAAUUUCUGCGGUUGCUGUCGAUUAACACGAGAAUAAGGAUUUAAUGGGUUUAAUUAUGCAACUUGCGACUAAUCGAGGUAUUUUCUGGCUGAAAUUGAGGGACCUGAGCA